rnacentral:RNase_P_RNA from 2 species
GGAGUCGGCUAGACAGUCGCUGUGCCUUCGGGCAUGGAGGAAAGUCCGGGCUCCAUAGGGCAGGGUGCCAGGUAACACCUGGGAGGCGCGAGUCUAUGGAAAGUGCCACAGAAAAUACACCGCCUACGUACCCGGCUUAACGGCCGGGUGCCGGUAAGGGUGAAAUGGUGCGGUAAGAGCGCACCGCGCGUCUGGCAACAGACGUGGCAGGGAAAACCCCACCUGGAGCAAGACCAAAUAGGGGAACGUUACGUGUGGCCCACACGGUUCCCGGGUAGGUCGCUUGAGGCGCACGGUGACGGGCGUCCCAGAUGAAUGACUGUCCACGACAGAACCCGGCUUAUCGGCCGACUCCUUUC